UGGGAAUUUGGACAAUGGGGCAACCCUGAUCCAGCAAUGCCGCGUGUGUGAAGAAGGCCUUCGGGUUGUAAAGCACUUUUGUCCGGAAAGAAAUCGCCCUGGCUAAUAUCCGGGGUGGAUGACGGUACUGGAAGAAUAAGCACCGGCUAACUACGUGCCAGCAGCCGCGGUAAUACGUAGGGUGCGAGCGUUAAUCGGAAUUACUGGGCGUAAAGCGUGCGCAGGCGGUUGUGCAAGACAGAUGUGAAAUCCCCCGGGCUUAACCUGGGAAUGGCAUUUGUGACCUGCACGGCUAGAGUGUGUCAGAGGGGGGUAGAAUUCCACGUGUAGCAGUGAAAUGCGUAGAUAUGUGGAGGAACACCGAUGGCGAAGGCAGCCCCCUGGGAUAACACUGACGCUCAUG
rnacentral:rRNA from 1 species